UUAUUACCGCCGCAAACUUUGCUAUGAGGCAGCUGCUUGGGUACUACGAGCGUGUGCUUAAAACUCAAAGAACUUGGCGGCUCGUUAACUACCUAGGGGAAUAUGCGCCUUAAUCCGAUGAUCCGCGUAGCAUCUUACUGUACCUUGAAAAAGAACAGCUGGUGUAUUGCCGUCGUCAGCCUGUUGUUCGAGCAGGAGAAACAGGCCCAAGGAACUGGCGAUUUGUCGACAGGAUCCAUAAAGUCAGGUCGAAAUACUGCCUAUGGUACGAGGGAGUGGGUAUUACAAUUCAAAAUUCGAAAUACGGAGCUUGGAAGAACUGUGAAAUCUCCAGGUGAAGGUGGACUUAGGAGUAAGGGGAGAUUAAUAUGCUUCCCUGAACGUGAAUCUAACUUGUGUACAAACCGCCCGUCGCUCUCGCCGGAAGGUGAGAU
rnacentral:rRNA from 1 species